rnacentral:rRNA from 1 species
GAUGAACGCUAGCGGCAGGCCUAACACAUGCAAGUCGAGGGGUAGAACACUUCGGUGUUUGAGACCGGCGCACGGGUGCGUAACGCGUAUGCAAUCUACCGUAUACAGGGGAAUAGCCCAGAGAAAUUUGGAUUAAUGCCCCAUAGCAUUAAGACUUGGCAUCAAGAUGUAAUUAAAGUUCCAACGGUAUAAGAUGCGCAUGCGUCCAAUGAGUUAGUUGGUAAGGUAACGGCUUACCAAGACGAUGAUGGGUAGGGGUCCUGAGAGGGAGAUCCCCCACACUGGUACUGAGACACGGACCAGACUCCUACGGGAGGCAGCAGUGAGGAAUAUUGGUCAAUGGUCGCAAGACUGAACCAGCCAUGCCGCGUGCAGGAAGACGGUCCUAUGGAUUGUAAACUGCUUUUAUACAGGAAGAAACCCUCCCACGUGUGGGAGCUCGACGGUACUGUAGGAAUAAGGAUCGGCUAACUCCGUGCCAGCAGCCGCCGUAA